UCAUAUACUCACUCAGAGUGUAAAACUUUCAGAGCUAACAAAACUAUAAGCAAUCAAUCAUGAGAACUACUCCAAUUAGCAUUUCCCGUUCUUCAACCUUGUUUUUACUUUUGGAGUGUCAUGUUCUCGAGAAUUUGACAUAGAAGUGAAUUUGUAUGCAUUAAAAAUUUGAAAUCCGAACUUUUUUUUUUUUUUUUUUCUAAUGGAUGUUUUAUGUGUAUGUUUUUUAUCCUGCUUUAUGAAUGUUGUGUAGCAGCAAGAUCAAUCGAUCAGUGUUAUUGAUUCCAACGGCAAGGUCUCAAUAUCAGCCUCAAAAAAGACUCAACAAUGGCACGAGCAAUAAAAAUUCAAAUAAACAUUGGCAGGAGCAAUAGAAAUUCCGGUUCUCGAAAUUUUCAAGCUUCAAUAGCAUCAAUGAGAAAUUGGGGAAGAAGCUUCAAUGGCUAUCAAUGAGAAAUUGGGAAAGAAGAAUAGAAAGUGGUAUUGAUUUAUAAAGCAUAAAGUCUUUUACACAUGACAUGUUUCAAUUUGUUGAUGCAACAAUUGUUACUCAUCCACGUGCAUCAGUUGCGUCAGCUCACAUAGGCUGAAGAUGGAUCAAAAGGUGGUAUUAAUGAUGGUCUUGUAUAAUUUUGUGGGGGUAAUGGUCGCCUGCAAAGUUAAAGCGUCUUCUUAAAAAUCUCGGACAAGUUCAGUGGCGACUUUAUGUCUUUUUUACUUAAAAAGAAAAGAAAAAUAAUCAACAAAUAUCAUACAGGGUGAAAAUGUAAUUUGGGGCUUAGCAACCAAUCAUAAUAUUAUUUCUAGCGUACCAUUGUUAUUCCUAGGGUUAAUAUUUAAGAAUUUAUCUUCCUCACAAAUUGAUAAUAUAUAACAUUCAUCUUGGCAUUUUAUCCCUAAA
rnacentral:lncRNA from 1 species